rnacentral:rRNA from 1 species
UACGUAGGUGGCAAGCGUUGUCCGGAUUUAUUGGGUUUAAAGGGUGCGUAGGCGGCUUUGUAAGUCAGUGGUGAAAUAUGGCAGCUCAACUGUCAGGGUGCCAUUGAUACUGCGGAGCUUAAGUACAGAUGAGGUAGGCGGAAUUGACGGUGUAGCGGUGAAAUGCUUAGAUAUCGUCAAGAACACCGAUAGCGAAGGCAGCUUACUAGGCUGUAACUGACGCUGAGGCACGAAAGUGUGGGGAUCAAACAGG